rnacentral:rRNA from 1 species
AUGGAGCGGUGCGACCGGAUCAGGGGCCCGUGGAGCCCGGAGGAGGACGGCGCGCUGCGGCGGCUGGUGGAGCUCCACGGCGCGCGCAACUGGACGGCCAUCGGCAGCGGGGUGCCCGGCCGCUCCGGCAAGUCGUGCCGCCUGCGGUGGUGUAACCAGCUGUCGCCCGGGGUGGAGCGCAGGCCCUUCACGGCCGACGAGGACGCCGCCAUUGCACGCGCCCACGCCAGGCUCGGGAACCGAUGGGCCGCCAUCGCGCGCCUCCUCCGUGGCCGCACCGACAACGCCGUCAAGAACCACUGGAACUGCUCCCUCAAGCGCAGGCUCGGCGACCUGGGCGCUUAUGGAGUCGCCGAGGGUGAGCUGGAGGAGCGGCCGUGCAAGCGCGCCAGCGUCACGCCGGACAGCACCUCCGGAUCGGGGCCGGGGUCUGGCUCCGGGUCGGACCGCAGCGACCUCAGCCAUGGCGGCGCGUUCGGGCUCGGCCAGGUUUACCUUCGCCCGGUGGCGCGGGCCGGCGGGUUCGAGCCCGCGGACUGCGCCAUGAGCCGGCGGCACGAGGAGAAGGAGGAACAGGAGGACCCGCUGACCUCGCUCUCGCUCUCCCUCCCGGGCACGGACGUCCAGGGGUUCCACCACGACAGUUCCCACAGUCAUUUCCACCAGCCGUCGUCCUCCCCGUCACCGCCGCCCGCUCCGGCGCCGGCAUCCCACCCAUUUAGCCCCGAGUUCGCGGAGCUGAUGCACGAGAUGAUCCGGGACGAGGUGCGCAGGUACAUCUCCGGCGUCGGCUGCGGCGCCAACCUGCCGUCCAUGCCGCUAUUGGUGGACGGCGUCAUGCGGGCCGCGGCGGAGCGCGCCGGCGGACUCGCGAGGAUGCAGUGA